rnacentral:rRNA from 1 species
UACGUAGGGUGCAAGCGUUGAUCGGAAUUACUGGGCGUAAAGCGUGCGCAGGCGGCUAUGCAAGACAGAUGUGAAAUCCCCGGGCUCAACCUGGGAACUGCAUUUGUGACUGCAUGGCUAGAGUACGGUAGAGGGGGAUGGAAUUCCGCGUGUAGCAGUGAAAUGCGUAGAUAUGCGGAGGAACACCGAUGGCGAAGGCAAUCCCCUGGACCUGUACUGACGCUCAUGCACGAAAGCGUGGGGAGCAAACAGG